GCCGGGGUGAGCCUCGCUGGUGCGGGGUGCAGACUUCAAAUCUGUAGACGCCUAAUAAGCGUAAUCGUUCGAUUCGAUCUCACCGGC
rfam:Emiliania huxleyi CCMP1516 EMIHTscaffold_867_Cont9057, whole genome shotgun sequence.